AGAUUGAACGCUGGCGGCAUGCCUUACACAUGCAAGUCGAACGGCAGCACGGGAGCAAUCCUGGUGGCGAGUGGCGAACGGGUGAGUAAUAUAUCGGAACGUGCCCAGUCGUGGGGGAUAACGUAGAGAAAUUUACGCUAAUACCGCAUACGAUCCAAAGGAUGAAAGCGGGGGACCGUAAGGCCUCGCGCGACUGGAGCGGCUGAUAUCAGA
rnacentral:rRNA from 1 species